rnacentral:lncRNA from 1 species
AGCAAACCACCAGAAGCUUGACAAGAGGCAUGGAGCAGAUGCUUCCUCACAGCCCUCAGAAGGAACCAACCCGCCAACCCCUUGAUCUCAGAUUUCUGGCCUCCAGAACCGCGAGACAGCAGAUUUCCAUGGCUUGAGCCGCCCGGUUUGUAGUACUUCAUUAUGGCAGCUCCAGCAAACAAAUACAGAUUUAUGACCUCGUCUACCCGACGAGGAUGCCUGGCCCAAGCUGGCAUACUAAGAGUUUUCCUGGAACUUGGGAACUGGGACAAAGAGGGACUAAGCCAGCAAGACCGAAAAGCAUGGCAGUCCCAGGACAGCCAUGAAAACCAUAUGUGAAUUAAUGAGUGAGCAGAUUGGAGCAGCAUUGUUUUGGACCCUAAGGACGUCACGUACAAAAUGCACUUAAAUCCUUGCCUCCUGGAGCUGAUGAUAAAGAAGAUGGACAAGUAAAACAUAUGGAAUGUGAAAUGGUGAUAAGAGUGAUGGAGAAAAUAAAACAGGAGAGGAGGUUGGAAUUGCCAGGCUUCAGAUUCAGCUUCUGUUUCCUGAGUGCCUCCACUAUACCAGCCAUUGGGCCAGGCAUCCAGAAGCCCUAAGGUAGACCUCAUCAUCCCUGUUCUACAGGAGAGGAAAACCAAGACUUGGCUACUACAGUAUACAAAGGGUGUGGAAAAGUCCUCCUAGAACCCUUACCCUGCUUCCAGGAGGAGCUGGACAGUUCUUUCCAAGUCCAGGCAGAAAGAAGUCUCCUCUUUUUCCAUUCUCUUUGUUACUUUAUAUGUCUGUGCAGGCUUGGUUGAGGAAGAAGGGGGGCCAGAAGGAAGUCUGGCCAGAUGGCAGGGUAAUAAAUGACUCUGACUUAAUAAUUUGUUGCUCUCCUCUUAAUUAAAAGGCUUUUCCCUAAAUGAUUUGCUGAUCACACAAACAGCACACACUAGUUGGGCGAGGACUGGGGGCCCAGGGAAAUCUAGACUGAGAGGA